rnacentral:rRNA from 1 species
UAGUGGCGCACGGGUGCGUAACGCGUGGGAAUCUGCCCUUUGCUUCGGAAUAACAGUUAGAAAUGACUGCUAAUACCGGAUGAUGUCUUCGGACCAAAGAUUUAUCGGCAAAGGAUGAGCCCGCGUAGGAUUAGGUAGUUGGUGGGGUAAAGGCCUACCAAGCCGACGAUCCUUAACUGGUCUGAGAGGAUGAUCAGCCACACUGGGACUGAGACACGGCCCAGACUCCUACGGGAGGCAGCAGUGGGGAAUAUUGGACAAUGGGCGCAAGCCUGAUCCAGCAAUGCCGCGUGAGUGAUGAAGGCCUUAGGGUUGUAAAGCUCUUUUACCCGGGAUGAUAAUGACAGUACCGGGAGAAUAAGCUCCGGCUAACUCCGUGCCAGCAGCCGCGGUAAUACGGAGGGAGCUAGCGUUGUUCGGAAUUACUGGGCGUAAAGCGCACGUAGGCGGCUAUUCAAGUCAGGGGUGAAAGCCCGGGGC